GUUUCUGCAAAAUUCUUCCACAACAAAAUAAGAAGCAAAUGACUACGACAAAAAUAAAAAAUUCAGAUCUCCAUACAUUACACCUAAUCUCCAAAAUAUUUAGUCGAUGGCCACAUUACAAGUUCUUCUGUUGUGCCCAAGCUUUCCGCAACGUCCACAUUUUAUAUGACGUACUAACUCCCCUUGCGAAGGUCUUCUCUUUUUUUUUGGCCUACCUGGUCGAGUCUUUCUGAUUGGGGGUAAAAUAUGAAUCUCAUCUGAGGCACUAUAGGGCUCCUCGAUAUCAG
rnacentral:lncRNA from 1 species